rnacentral:lncRNA from 1 species
AGCGUUUUAUGGCCCAUUCUUAUGCCAGAAAGGUGUGCUUCACAAAAGGUGCUGAGAUGGCUUUGCACUAGCAGGGUACACAUGGCGCUCUGAUUUGCAAGUCCAGGGCACAUUUGGAUGGCAAUAAGGUGCACGGACCACACGGAGGGGUGACCGGCACAUGGGAUCAGGCCACAUGAUGGAGGGUCAGGUCUGGGCUGAGCCGGUUCUUGGUUGUGGGUAAAGCCUCCUCCCUGCCUUUCAUCUCCAGGGUGAUCUCUGGAGAUGGAGAAUGCAUUUUAGCAUGUGGCUGCAGAUUAAAAAGCAGUUGCUGUGGCUUUGUGAGUGAGACUGAGAGCUGGGAUCUCCAGACAGGCUCAGCACGCGUCUCUCAGGGCGCUGGAAGAAGCACUAGAUGUGCACUGAACUUGGUUGUGCCCUGAGGUUAUGCUCCUUUCUCUCUUAAAACUGGAGAGGAAAUUGGUUCACAUUUUUUGCUGAAAAUGCAAUGGCAACCUGGCUGACACCUUGACUUUUUUCCUUUAUUAUUAUUAUUAUUAUUUCUCUCUCCUACAUGGUCAGCCCUGCCUGGUUUCUAAUGAGAAAAGGCCGGGGAAAUCAGCUGAGUGUACCUCCCACUUCCCUUAAUAAAAAGCUGCUGCUAGCGCAGGGUUCACAGAGCAAGUUUGCUUUGCUAGCCUAAUCCACACUCCCUCAUGGUUUCAUACUGCUGAGAAUUAAAGAGAUGAACAUUCCCAUGCUGUUAAUCUGGUAACAAUAAGACAGGGAAGCUGCUGCAGUUUACAGAGAGCGCAGCACAGCCACAGCUGGACAGAUGUUUGCACGAGACACCUUAUUUAAACACCACUCUUGGCUCCAGCCUCGUGUUUUUCAUUCUGGUGUUGCAGUGUCAGCGAGAGUGCUGCAUCUUGAUUACAUCAACGAAGAGAGGAUCUCGGCCCUGCCAGCUGAGCACCAUCCCAAAGGAGGAGGAAGGAGAGAAGGCUCCGAGGACUCCGGCAUUCUCUGCAGGGAGAUUAUUAGUGCAAGACGUGACAUUAAGACAAUACAUUGACUCAUCCAAAGAAACAGAGGCUUGCAGGAGCAGCGAGAGGAAACCAAAUAAAUAUGUUUGCAGAAAGUUGUCUGUUCA